rnacentral:rRNA from 2 species
GACGAACGCUGGCGGCGUGCUUAACACAUGCAAGUCGAACGGAAAGGCCCUGCUUGCAGGGUACUCGAGUGGCGAACGGGUGAGUAACACGUGGGUGAUCUGCCCUGCACCUCGGGAUAAGCUUGGGAAACUGGGUCUAAUACCGGAUAGGACCGCACUUUAGUGUGUGUGGUGGAAAGUUUUUUCGGUGUAGGAUGAGCUCGCGGCCUAUCAGCUUGUUGGUGGGGUAAUGGCCUACCAAGGCGGCGACGGGUAGCCGGCCUGAGAGGGUGUACGGCCACAUUGGGACUGAGAUACGGCCCAGACUCCUACGGGAGGCAGCAGUGGGGAAUAUCGCACAAUGGGCGCAAGCCUGAUGCAGCGACGCCGCGUGGGGGAUGAAGGCCUUCGGGUUGUAAACUCCUUUCGCUAGGGACGAAGCUUUUGUGACGGUACCUAGAUAAGAAGCACCGGCUAACUACGUG